rnacentral:sRNA from 1 species
CUGAUUAUUCGCGCCACACCUUAUCCGGUGGGUUAGCGCGCGUUCUUCAGUCGCCAAUGAAACCCGCCCUUGAGGCGGGUUCU